rnacentral:rRNA from 1 species
CCUACGGGGGGCUGCAGUGGGGAAUAUUGGACAAUGGGGGGAACCCUGAUCCAGCCAUGCCGCGUGUGUGAAGAAGGCCCUCGGGUUGUAAAGCACUUUCAGUGAGGAAGAACGCCUGGUGGUUAAUACCCAUCAGGAAAGACAUCACUCACAGAAGAAGCACCGGCUAACUCCGUGCCAGCAGCCGCGGUAAUACGGAGGGUGCGAGCGUUAAUCGGAAUUACUGGGCGUAAAGCGCGCGUAGGUGGCUUGAUAAGCCGGUUGUGAAAGCCCCGGGCUCAACCUGGGACGGCAUCCGGAACUGUCAAGCUAGAGUGCAGGAGAGGAAGGUAGAAUUCCCGGUGUAGCGGUGAAAUGCGUAGAGAUCGGGAGGAAUACCAGUGGCGAAGGCGGCCUUCUGGACUGACACUGACACUGAGGUGCGAAAGCGUGGGUAGCAAACAGGAUUAGAUACCCUAGUAGUC